rnacentral:pre_miRNA from 1 species
GGAGGGAGGCCGGAUCCUGGGCUGUGUCCCAGCGCCCAGUGCUCCCGGGCCUGCGCUGGUGGAUUCGCGAUCCCGCCCCGCAGCCCCCU